UUUUUUUUUUUAAUUUUUAUUUGUAUUUAUUAUUUUAUUUUAUUUUAUUUUUUUUUUUAUUUUUAUUUUAUUUUUUUUUUUGUUGUUGUUGUUGCGUGGGAUCUUUAAUAGCGUGUCCUUUCUCUUUAAUAAAAUGUCACGUCUGCAGUCAGUCCAGAUGUAAACUUCACUGUUGUAUCGGUCAUAUAAUCAAGUGAAUCAUCAUGGGCAAUGGCAUGAAUAAGGUUGUUGAUGGUCUCUAUCUAGGAAAUAUAAGAGACUCGGAGAACAGAGACAGUCUGUCUCGUCACAGCAUCACUCACAUCCUUUCUGUGUGCAACAAUGCCAAGCCUGUGUUCGAGGACAUGACAUAUCUGUGCAUUAAUGCAGCCGAUGCCUCCAGCCAAAAUUUGUCUCAGCAUUUCAAAGAGAGCAUACGCUUUAUCCAUGAGUGUCGACUCAAUGGAGGGGCAUGUCUAGUUCAUUGUCUUGCCGGAGUGUCUCGCAGUACCACAAUGGUGGUGGCGUACCUCAUGACAGUCACCAGCUAUGGCUGGGAGGAGUGUUUGACUGCGGUGAAAGCUGUGCGCUCAUUUGUGGGCCCAAACUAUGGCUUUCAGCAGCAGCUGCAGGAAUUUCAGAUGAAACAGGCAUCAGAGGAACCCUGUGUGAACUUGAGGGGAACUGACUUCAUACAUCCACUAAAAAUCACCUUGACAGUUGUUUUAAAAGUCAAUAUAAGAAUAGUCUCAUACUUGUAGUUCUGAGAAAAACUCUAGCAUUGUUUGUUUGCAGAUGGUACUUGCUUUGAUACUUUAUCUUAUGCAGUGACACUCAUAUAUUUUUAAGUUUUGUCCAAUUGUCCAAAUACUUUUCUGGGGCCACUGUAGUAUGCUGUAUAUGGUCUUAAGUGAUAAGACAGACAACAAAAUACCCAUCCCAACCUCAGAAAUGAAUACAAGUAAGAAACAAUGUACAGUAAGCUGGUCAUUAUAGUAAAAUAAACCCUGACAGCCUGAUCAGGACCCCUGAUACAAAGCAGAUGGACUGACUGUACAUUAUUUGCUCACUGCAUGGCUAUAUACAAUAUAAAAUGUACAGAGGUGGGUAGAGUAGCCAAAAACUUUACUCAAGUAAAAGUACAAUACUUUAAAAAAAAUAAUUACUCAAGUAGAAGUUAAAGCAAUAAUGUUAAAAAUUACUCAAGUAAGAAUAAGAAAUUAUCCAAUAAAAAGAAUACUUAAGUAGUGAGUAACUAGUUACUUUCACAUAUAACGUAAUGGAUGUUUACUCUCCUAUAUUCCAGUGCAUGAUACACAUUUAACAUGCAUUACAGAAUGAUUAAUAAUAAUAAUAAUAAUAAUAAUACUAUUAAUAUUAUUGUAAAUAAUAGAAAUUGUCAUCAUUCACCACCAUGUUGUUCCAAACCCAUAUGACUUUUUUCCAUGCAUCAAAUUAAAGGGAUAGCUCACCAAAAAAUUGAAAUGUUUUCUCAUCCUCAUGCCAUCCCAGAUAUGCAUGACUUUCUUUCUUCUGCAUAACACAAAUGAAGAUUUUUAGAAAAAUAUAUCAGCUCUGUUGGUGCAUAUAAUGCAAGUGAAUGGUGACCAGAUCUUUGAAGCUCCUAAAAGCACAGAGGCAGCAUAAAAUAAUUCAUGUGACUCCAGUGAUUUUCAGAAGCAAUAUGAUAGGUGUGGGUGAGAAACAGAUAAAUAUCUAUAACUUUAUAAUACUUUAAAAAAAUAUAUUAUUUUUUUUUUUUUACUAUUCUCCUCCCUGCCCAGUAGGUGGAAAUAUGCACAAAUAAUUGAAUCACCAAAAACACAAGAAGAAGAAUGUGAAAGUGGAGAUUUAUUAGUACAAAAGGAUUUAAAUAUUGAUCUGUUUCUCACCCACAUGUAUCAUAUCCCUCACCCACACGUAUCAUAUCCCUUCUGAAGGUAUAGAUUGAACCAGUGUCAUUUGAAUUCCUUUAAUGCUGCCUUCAUGUGCUUUCUGAGCUUCAAAGUUUUGGUACCCAUUCACUUGCAUUCUAAUAUAAACUAACAGAGCUGAGAUAUUCUUCUAAAAAUCUUUGUGCUCAGCAUAAGAAAAAAAAAAAAAAACAUCUGGGAUGGCAUGUGGGUGAGUAAAUUAUGUGAGAAUUUUCAAUUUUGGAAAAAUUAUUUCUAUAAAAGGUGUUAGACAGAAUGCUAACCUUAAUCAUUUACUUUCACUGCAUGUUUUUGUUCCCCCUCCAUAUUUUGAAAGGGAAUGCUCACUUCCUGUUCUUGUUACUGACGGCACGCUGCAUGAGUGUUUGUAGCUUGCUAGCCUGCUUAGCAUUGCUUAUUCUUAUACAUUCAUCGUUUUAUCCUUUGCCAUUUUACUGCAUGAUUUGGGUUUUUCCGCUUUUCUACUGCUUCAUCUAUGUGUAUUUACUGUGCGCACCCGUUUCUCUGUUUUUCUUCAUUUUUUCCGCUUGUCUACAUCUCGCGUCUUUACUGCGUGCAUUGGUUUUCUCCACUGUGUUUUACACAGAUUAUUGUAUCAAUCUAAAACAUCUGCUGAUUAAGAACCACAUCGAUCUCAAACCCUCGCCACUCAAGAGCAACCACAACAACAACAACAACAACAACAAACAAAGCCGGCCAGAUCCAGCUCCAUUCCUGCUUGGUGUCGGACUCCACUGCUAAGUGACGCUGAAAGAUGACGACAAACUGUAGCCGGUGCCAGCCAGGCAUCACUUCAGUCUUUUGAGUUUAGAGGAUGAACUGAUGCUUGAACCUUGGAUUUAGGAUGGACCCCACCGAACCUCACCGAAAUGACCUGCAGGUUGAACUGCGAUGCACCUCAUCAUUUAUCUCUGCCUGCAUCACCUUUGUCUAUUGAUGGACUACGCUCUUGAAAUGGAAUACAUAAACUAUAAUUUAAUUGCCAACAAAAGCCUUCAUCAGCCAACUAACAAAGGACAAUGCAUCUAUGUGAAAUUCUGCAGUUAAUCCAGGAUGGACUUCAAAGACAUUAGUCAUUAAUCUUAAAGUUAAAAAAAAUAUAUAUAUUUUUUCCAUUUGUUUUAAAAAAAACAAACGGACCUUAACACUUACUUAAUUUACAAAUUUAAAACCAUGACUUGCCCGCACAUAAAUAACUAAUAUUGGCAUUAUAUUCAUGUUGCUUAGCCAGAGGGGAACUGGCCCCCACAGCGAGUCUGGUUUCUCCCAGGAUUAUUUUUCUCCAUUAACCAACAUCUUAUGGAUUUUUGUGUUCCUUGCCACAGUCACCUUCAGCUUACUCACAGGGGUUCUAAAUACAGUUAUUUAAUUUCUAUACACAAUUUACAAUCAUAUUUAAUCAAACUACACAAUGAUCACUCUAAGACUUUAUAAAUAUUACAGUUUAGUUUUCUGUUAAUGCAUGAUCUUCUGUAAAGCUGCUUUGGAACGAUGUGUAUUGUGAAAAGCACUAUACAAAUAAAAAUGACUUGA